UGCAGUCGAGCGGACAGAAGGGAGCUUGCUCCCGGAUGUUAGCGGCGGACGGGUGAGUAACACGUGGGUAACCUGCCUGUAAGACUGGGAUAACUCCGGGAAACCGGAGCUAAUACCGGAUAGUUCCUUGAACCGCAUGGUUCAAGGAUGAAAGACGGUUUCGGCUGUCACUUACAGAUGGACCCGCGGCGCAUUAGCUAGUUGGUGAGGUAACGGCUCACCAAGGCGACGAUGCGUAGCCGACCUGAGAGGGUGAUCGGCCACACUGGGACUGAGACACGGCCCAGACUCCUACGGGAGGCAGCAGUAGGGAAUCUUCCGCAAUGGACGAAAGUCUGACGGAGCAACGCCGCGUGAGUGAUGAAGGUUUUCGGAUCGUAAAGCUCUGUUGUUAGGGAAGAACAAGUGCAAGAGUAACUGCUUGCACCUUGACGGUACCUAACCAGAAAGCCACGGCUAACUACGUGCCAGCAGCCGCGGUAAUACGUAGGUGGCAAGCGUUGUCCGGAAUUAUUGGGCGUAAAGGGCUCGCAGGCGGUUUCUUAAGUCUGAUGUGAAAGCCCCCGGCUCAACCGGGGAGGGUCAUUGGAAACUGGGAAACUUGAGUGCAGAAGAGGAGAGUGGAAUUCCACGUGUAGCGGUGAAAUGCGUAGAGAUGUGGAGGAACACCAGUGGCGAAGGCGACUCUCUGGUCUGUAACUGACGCUGAGGAGCGAAAGCGUGGGGAGCGAACAGGAUUAGAUACCCUGGUAGUCCACGCCGUAAACGAUGAGUGCUAAGUGUUA
rnacentral:rRNA from 1 species